rnacentral:tRNA from 1 species
GUAANGCGUAAGUCAUCGGUUCAAAUCCGAUAAGGGGCU